rnacentral:tRNA from 2 species
GGGGCCGUAGUUCAGCUGGGAGAACGCUACGCUGGCAGCGUAGAAGUCAGGGGUUCAAAUCCCCUCGGCUCCACCA